GACGAACGCUGGCGGCGUGCUUAACACAUGCAAGUCGAACGGAGUGGCGACUGGGUGAGUAACACGUGGGUGAUCUGCCUUGCACUCUGGGAUAAGCUUGGGAAACUGGGUCUAAUACCGGAUAGUGCAAGAUGAGCUCGCGGCCUAUCAGCUUGUUGGUGGGGUAAUGGCCUUCCAAGGCGUCGACGGGUCGCCGGCCUGAGAGGGUGUACGGCAAAAUUGGGACUUAGAUACGGCCCAGACGCCGACGGGAGGCAGCAGGGGGGAAUCUUGCACAAUGGGCGGAAGCCUGAUGCAGCGACGCCGCGUGGGGGAUGACGGCCUUCGGGUGGUAAACUCCUUUCGACAGGGACGCGGUACCUGUAUAAGAAGCACCGGCUAACUACGUGCCAGCAGCCGCGGUAAUAC
rnacentral:rRNA from 1 species